AGGGUUCGAUCAUGGCUCAGGAUGAACGCUGGCGGCGUGCCUAAUACAUGCAAGUCGAGCGAACAGAUGAGAAGCUUGCUUCUCUGAUGUUAGCGGCGGACGGGUGAGUAACACGUGGGUAACCUACCUAUAAGACUGGGAUAACUCCGGGAAACCGGGGCUAAUACCGGAUAAUAUUUUGAACCGCAUGGUUCAAUAGUGAAAGACGGUUUCGGCUGUCGCUUAUAGAUGGACCCGCGCCGUAUUAGCUAGUUGGUAAGGUAACGGCUUACCAAGGCGACGAUACGUAGCCGACCUGAGAGGGUGAUCGGCCACACUGGAACUGAGACACGGUCCAG
rnacentral:rRNA from 1 species